UACGUAGGGAGCGAGCGUUGUCCGGAAUCAUUGGGCGUAAAGCGCGCGUAGGCGGCCCGAUAAGUCCGCUGUAAAAGUCAACGGCUCAACUGUUGAAAGCCGGUGGAUACUGCAGGGCUAGAGUACGGAAGAGGCGAGUGGAAUUCCUGGUGUAGCGGUGGAAUGCGCAGAUAUCAGGAGGAACACCAAUAGCGAAGGCAGCUCGCUGGGACGUUACUGACACUGAGGCGCGAAAGCGUGGGGAGCGAACAGG
rnacentral:rRNA from 1 species